GAAAUGCGAUAAGUAAUGUGAAUUGCAGAAUUCCGUGAAUCAUCGAAUCUUUGAACGCACAUUGCGCCCUCUGGUAUUCCGGGGGGCAUGCCUGUCCGAGCGUCAUUGCGAACCCCUCAAGCACGGCUUGUGUGAUGGGCCCUCCCGCGUAUUGGUCGUCAAGACGGGCCCGAAAUGCAGUGGCGGCUUCGCGGUUAUCCGAUCAGCCAGAGCGUAUGGGGACUUUCUCUCUGUCACACGCCCGCGGCGCGGACCGACGCCUGUCGACCUUUAUUCAUCUUUUUCUCGGUUGACCUCGGAUCAGGUAGGGAUACCCGCUGAACUUAAGC
rnacentral:misc_RNA from 1 species